rnacentral:rRNA from 1 species
UACAGAGGGUGCAAGCGUUGUUCGGAAUUACUGGGCGUAAAGCGCACGUAGGCGGCUUUGUAAGUUAGAGGUGAAAGCCCGGGGCUCAACUCCGGAAUUGCCUUUAAGACUGCAUCGCUAGAAUUGUGGAGAGGUAAGUGGAAUUCCGAGUGUAGAGGUGAAAAUUCGUAGAUAUUCGGAAGAACACCAGUGGCGAAGGCGACUUACUGGACACAUAUUGACGCUGAGGUGCGAAAGCGUGGGGAUCAAACAGGG